rnacentral:sRNA from 1 species
UGAAUAAUUUUUUACUUGUAGAUUCAUCUUGUUAGCAAAUAUGCUUUUUCAUUGGUUUAAACCUUUGUUUUGUUUUACUUAUGAUGUGUUCAACCCUCUGAUUUUUACCUCUCUGCCAUUAGAUUGGCCCUGUGUACUCCUCUGUCUCGUCUGAAGCAAGAAGUAGCAACAUUCAGUCAAAGGGCAGUAUCUGAUACCUUGAUGACAAUUAAUCGGAUGGAGCAGGCACGCACAGAAUACAGAGGAGCUCUGCUGUGGAUGAAAGAUGUAUCCCAAGAGCUGGACCCAGACACCUUAAAGCAAAUGGAAAAGUUCAGAAAAGUACAGAUGCAAGUGAGAAAUAGCAAAGCUUCUUUUGACAAGUUAAAGAUGGAUGUUUGUCAGAAAGUGGAUUUACUUGGAGCUAGUCGCUGCAAUAUGCUAUCUCAUUCGCUCACUACCUACCAGAGAACACUGCUUGGAUUCUGGGAGAAAACAGCUCGAAUGAUGUCCCAAAUUCAUGAAGCUUGUAUUGGCUUUCAUCCGUAUGAUUUUGUAGCUCUCAAGCAACUACAAGACACUCCAAGCAAGCUUA